AGUGGAGGAUGGGGCAGUGGAGGAUGUGGAGGAAGUAAGUUCUUAUGCGUCUAGUUAGUAUGCGUACUUCUUCAAUAUAAAGCGGGGAAGUGGUUAUUAAUAUGGUACAGUCUCGGAGGUUUAUUUUCAUUGUUGGAAACUAUGUUUAUUUUCAUUGUUGGAAACUUGGAAAUAUCAUCAUGAUUCAUGAACUGUAA